rnacentral:rRNA from 1 species
UACGUAGGGGGCAAGCGUUGUCCGGAAUCAUUGGGCGUAAAGCGCGUGUAGGCGGUUCGGUAAGUCUGCUGUGAAAGUCCAGGGCUCAACCCUGGGAUGCCGGUGGAUACUGUCGGACUAAAGUACGGAAGAGGCGAGUGGAAUUCCCGGUGUAGCGGUGAAAUGCGUAGAUAUCUGGAGGAACACCGGUGGCGAAGGCGGCAUUCUGGACCGAUAUUGACGCUGAGGAGCGAAAGCCAGGGGAGCAAACGGG